AAUGAACGCUGGCGGCGUGCCUAAUACAUGCAAGUCGAGCGAAGCGGGGAGGGGUGAGUAAAACGUGGAUAACCUCCUAUAAGACUGGGGUAAAUUAGGGAAACCGGAGCUAAACCGGAAACUUAUAGAUGGUUCCGCGCUGCCUUAGCUAGUUGGUAAGGUAACGGCUUACCAAGGCAACGAUGCAUAGCUGACCUGAGAGGGUGAUCGGCCACACUGGAACUGAGACACGGUCCAGACUCCUACGGGAGGCAGCAGUAGGGAAUCUUCCGCAAUGGGCGAAAGCCUGACGGAGCAACGCCGCGUGAGUGAUGAAGGUCUUCGGAUCGUAAAACUCUGUUAUUAGGGAAGCGGUACCGAAUCAGAAAGCCACGGCUAACUCCGUGCCAGCCGCCGCGGUAAUUC
rnacentral:rRNA from 1 species